UCAAACUGCACACGGUGGCUUGAACUGGUUGUGUUGGUGGCUCAGGUGGCUUCAGUGAAGAACUGGUCGGGUCGAGACCCUCAGAGCAAAGGGAAGGGAGGGGGAAGGAGCAAUUUGUGGGAGCCACUUGUAGAGCCAGGGAUGUGUCCGAUGGGAGCGGCUCCUGGGAGCGCCCUGGGCCGCUCAGCCCGGCCGGGAGGCUCCGGGGCCGGCGAGAGCCGCUCCCGCAGAUCCGAUCCCUCCAGGCCUGGAGCUCCCAGGCAGCUCCGUGUUUGGCUUUCCAUUCAAUAUUCCUCGGCUUCGGUCUCCAAGGCUACACGCCAACAUCCAACCCCUCCUCCCACUCCUGUUUUCAAAGAAAGAAAAACACUGUGAAAAGAGGCUGCAGCGAUUUCUGGGCAGUUUUCAAAGCGGAGAGGCAGCGCUGGGAGCUGCUCUCCCCGCACGCUCCUGGGGCUCUGAUCCAGCCUGGGCCGUGAUUCCCCCGCUGCUCCAUCCUCAGGAUGCAGGGAAGCACCCCCAGCUCGGCAAGCGCAGGGGGAUAAUCUGCUUUUAGCGGCCGGACACUGCCCUGUUCCAGCACGGACAGCAGGACAGCCCUGGGUGCCGAACCAGAGUCCAGCUGCCCCAGCUGCUGUCACAGCCACGACCCCACAGUGCCAAAGAAAUGGGAGAUCCAGGGCACAGCUGGGUGUGUGUGCAGGGGAGGAAGAGGAGGGUGAAGAGAAGGAAAAAGAGAAGGAGCAAGGAAGAUGAGGAGGAAGAAGAGGAGAAAGGCAGCACCCAGUAGCUCUCUGCAGUGCGAUCUGACACCAGGCUUGCUGGAUGCUGUGACAGAAAUACCUGCAAAAAAAACAGAGUUAAAUCUGCUUUCUGCUGCUGUAAUUAUAUCGCUUCAUUCCAGUUAGAAAAUAUAAGAUACAUCUCAAA